rnacentral:misc_RNA from 1 species
UGCAGCUGACAUUCGAUAUUCAAAUGGUGCUCCAAGAUGGAGGUCUGAUGAAGCAAGCGACGAGGAGGAGCCAAGUCUUGACAGAGUUCCAAGCAUAGUACGCCACAGAGCUACCCGAAGCAGUACUAGAAGAACAAGGUCAACCAAGAGAUAAUGAUCGUAUUUGUCCAUCUAACAACUCGAGAUGAUGCACUUUAUGCAAUGCGGAUAGCUCGGGAUUGGUCAAAAAAGACCAUGUGAGUGUAAACCUUUCCGGCUCGAAGUAGUCUUGGUUAGGAUAGAAGGA